rnacentral:rRNA from 1 species
CCUACGGGAGGCAGCAGUGGGGAAUAUUGCACAAUGGGGGAAACCCUGAUGCAGCGACGCCGCGUGAGUGAAGAAGUAUUUCGGUACGUAAAGCUCUAUCAGCAGGGAAGAAAAAAAGUCCUUUGGACUUUGGACGGUACCUGACUAAGAAGCCCCGACUAACUACGUGCCAGCAGCCGCGGUAAUACGUAGGGGGCAAGCGUUAUACGGAUUUACUGGGUGUAAAGGGAGCGUAGACGGCAGCGCAGGUCUGGAGUGAAAUGCCGGGGCCCAACCCCGGAACUGCGUUGGUAACUGUGCAGCUGGAGUGCAGGGGAGGGAAGCGGAAAUCCUAGUGUGUCGGUGAAAUGCGUGGAGAUUAGGGGAGGCACCAGUGGCGAGAGCGGCUUACUGGACUGUAAGUGA